AUCAAUAAGCGGAGGAAAAGAAAAUAACAAUGAUUUCCCUAGUAACGGCGAGUGAAGAGGAAAGAGCUCAAAGUUGGAAACUGUUUGGCUUAGCUAAACCGUAUUGUAAACUGUAGAAACAUUUUCCUGGCACGCCGGAUUAAUAAGUCCUUUGGAACAAGGCAUCAUGGAGGGUGAGAAUCCCGUCUUUGAUCCGAGUAGUUGUCUUUUGUGAUAUGUUUUCAAAGAGUCAGGUUGUUUGGGAAUGCAGCCUAAAUUGGGUGGUAAAUCUCACCUAAAGCUAAAUAUUUGCGAGAGACCGAUAGCGAACAAGUACCGUGAGGGAAAGAUGAAAAGAACUUUGAAAAGAGAGUUAAACAGUAUGUGAAAUUGUUAAAAGGGAACCGUUUGGAGCCAGACUGGUUUGACUGUAAUCAACCUAGAAUUCGUUCUGGGUGCACUUGCAGUCUAUACCUGCCAACAACAGUUUGAUUUGGAGGAAAAAAUUAGUAGGAAUGUAGCCUCUCGAGGUGUUAUAGCCUACUAUCAUACUCUGGAUUGGACUGAGGAACGCAGCGAAUGCCUUUAGGCAAGAUUGCUGGGUGCUUUCGCUAAUAAAUGUUAGAAUUUCUGCUUCGGGUGGUGCUAAUGUUUAAAGGAGGAACACAUCUAGUAUAUUUUUUAUUCGCUUAGGUUGUUGGCUUAAUGACUCUAAUGAC
rnacentral:rRNA from 1 species